UACGUAGGUGGCAAGCGUUGUCCGGAUUUACUGGGCGUAAAGAGCGCGCAGGCGGUCGUUCAAGUCGCGUGUGAAAGCCCCCGGCUCAACUGGGGAGGGUCACGCGAUACUGAUCGACUGGAAGGCAGGAGAGGGUAGUGGAAUUCCCGGUGUAGCGGUGGAAUGCGUAGAGAUCGGGAAGAACAUCGGUGGCGAAGGCGGUCUGCUGGGCCGUUGCUGACGCUGAGGCGCGAAAGCAUGGGGAGCGAACAGG
rnacentral:rRNA from 1 species